AAGUCGAGCGGACUUGAAGAGAAGCUUGCUUCUCUGAUGGUUAGCGGCGGACGGGUGAGUAACACGUAGGCAACCUGCCCUCAAGUUUGGGACAACUACCGGAAAACGGUAGCUAAUACCGAAUAAUUGUUUUCUUCGCCUGAAGGAAACUGGAAAGACGGAGCAAUCUGUCACUUGGGGAUGGGCCUGCGGCGCAUUAGCUAGUUGGUGAGGUAACGGCUCACCAAGGCGACGAUGCGUAGCCGACCUGAGAGGGUGAUCGGCCACACUGGGACUGAGACACGGCCCAGACUCCUACGGGAGGCAGCAGUAGGGAAUCUUCCGCAAUGGGCGAAAGCCUGACGGAGCAAUGCCGCGUGAGUGAUGAAGGUUUUCGGAUCGUAAAGCUCUGUUGCCAGGGAAGAACGCUUGGAGA
rnacentral:rRNA from 1 species